UACGGUAGGGCGCAAGCGUUACCCGGAAUUAUUGGGCGUAAAGAGCUCGUAGGCGGUUUGUCGCGUCUGCCGUGAAAGUCCGGGGCUCAACUCCGGAUCUGCGGUGGGUACGGGCAGACUAGAGUGAUGUAGGGGAGACGUGGAAUUCCUGGUGUAGCGGUGAAAUGCGCAGAUAUCAGGAGGAACACCGGUGGCGAAGGCGGUUGGCUGGGCCGUUGCUGACACUGAUGCGCGACAGCGGUGGGGAGCAAACAGG
rnacentral:rRNA from 1 species